GCGUGGGUCGGCCCGCUGUACUGGAUCCAGUGGGCUGGGGGACACCGCCGCCUACAUCCCCGCGGGCGGCGGACCGGUCCGGGAGGCGAGCUCCGCCUCCCGGACUGUG
rnacentral:ncRNA from 1 species